UAUCUACUCCCUCCUUCCGGAAACACUCGUCGAAGAAAUGCAUAAAAAUGAAUAUAUCUAGAACUAAAAUACGUCUAGAUACAUCUAUUCCUUUGACGAGUAUUUCCGGACCGAGAGAGUACAAG
rfam:Triticum aestivum genome assembly, contig: Triticum_aestivum_CS42_TGACv1_scaffold_577494_7BL